rfam:Daphnia pulex DAPPTscaffold_570_Cont9985, whole genome shotgun sequence.
GGUCCUAUGGCUUAGACGGCAAAGUGCCUGCCUAUUAAGCAGGAGAUCACGAGUUCGAGUCUCGUUGGGACCU